GAUGAACGCUAGCUACAGGCUUAACACAUGCAAGUCGAGGGGUAGCACGGAGGAAGCUUGCUUCCUUGGGUGACGACCGGCGCACGGGUGAGUAACGCGUAUCCGACCUACCCAUUACUCGGGCACAGCCGCUCGAAAGAGUGAUUGAUUCCCGAUAUGUUCUUAGAGUAGAUUUAAGAAUGAAAGAUUUAUCGGUUAUGGAUGGGGAUGCGUAAGAUUAGGUAGUAGGCGGGGUAACGGCCCACCUAGCCGACGAUCUUUAGGGGUUCUGAGAGGAAGGUCCCCCACACUGGUACUGGGACACGGACCAGACUCCUACGGGAGGCAGCAGUGAGGAAUAUUGGUCAAUGGGCGGAAGCCUGAACCAGCCAAGUAGCGUGAAGGAUUACAGCCCUACGGGUUUUAAACUUCUUUUAUAUAAGAGUAAUGUGCACUACGUGUAGUGUAUUGCAAGUAUUAUAUGAAUAAGCAUCGGCUAACUCCGUGCCAGCCGCCGCCGUAACAC
rnacentral:rRNA from 1 species